rnacentral:rRNA from 1 species
GUGGGGAAUUUUGCGCAAUGGGGGAAACCCUGACGCAGCAACGCCGCGUGGAGGAUGAAGUCCCUUGGGACGUAAACUCCUUUCGACCGGGAAGAUACUGACGGUACCGGAAGAAGAAGCACCGGCUAACUCUGUGCCAGCAGCCGCGGUAAUACAGAGGGUGCGAGCGUUGUUCGGAAUUAUUGGGCGUAAAGGGCGCGUAGGCGGCGCGGUAUGUCACCUGUGAAAUCUCCUGGCUCAACUGGGAGCUUGCAGGCGAAACUGCCGUGCUGGAGUGUGGGAGAGGUGCGUGGAAUUCCUGGUGUAGCGGUGAAAUGCGUAGAUAUCAGGAGGAACACCUGUGGCGAAAGCGGCGCACUGGACCACAACUGACGCUGAGGCGCGAAAGCUAGGGGAGCAAACAGGAUUAGAAACCCGAGUAGUCC